rnacentral:rRNA from 1 species
UACGUAUGGUGCAAGCGUUAUCCGGAUUUACUGGGUGUAAAGGGAGCGCAGGCGGCACGGCAAGCCUGAUGUGAAAGCCCGCGGCCCAACCGCGGGACUGCAUUGGGAACUACCGGGCUGGAGUGCCGGAGAGGUAGGCGGAAUUCCUAGUGUAGCGGUGAAAUGCGUAGAUAUUAGGAGGAACAUCAGUGGCGAAGGCGGCCUACUGGACGGUGACUGACGCUGAGGCUCGAAAGCGUGGGGAGCAAACAGG